rnacentral:rRNA from 1 species
UGGGGAAUAUUGGACAAUGGGCGAAAGCCUGAUCCAGCAAUGCCGCGUGAGUGAUGAAGGCCUUAGGGUUGUAAAGCUCUUUUACCCGGGAUGAUAAUGACAGUACCGGGAGAAUAAGCCCCGGCUAACUCCGUGCCAGCAGCCGCGGUAAUACGGAGGGGGCUAGCGUUGUUCGGAAUUACUGGGCGUAAAGCGCACGUAGGCGGCUUUAUAAGUCAGAGGUGAAAGCCUGGAGCUCAACUCCAGAAUUGCCUUUGAGACUGUAUCGCUUGAACGUCGGAGAGGUGAGUGGAAUUCCGAGUGUAGAGGUGAAAUUCGUAGAUAUUCGGAAGAACACCAGUGGCGAAGGCGGCUCACUGGACGACUGUUGACGCUGAGGUGCGAAAGCGUGGGGAGCAAACAGGAUUAGAUACCCGCGUAGUCC